rnacentral:lncRNA from 1 species
UUUUUUUUUUUUGGUCUUUUGGUCUUUUCUAGGGCCGCACCGAUGGAACAGUGUUCAAAUUAUGUGGAGAACAAAUAAAGAGAAAAGAACAUGGAAGGCCAUUUUUCAGUUGGCAACUCCAGGAUACCUACUUUAAAAAUGUGAAAGUAGAGUGAUUCAAAGUUUUAAAAUACACUAGAGGAAUCAUAUUCAGAAAUGAGAUCUGAUUUGCAGACCAAACUGGACAAAUAUACACAAUACUUCAAAAUGUAGUAACUGCAGUUUUCCAACUUUGUAAGGCAAAACUAAAAAAAAAAAAAAAAGAAAGAAAAAAAAAAGAAAAAAAAAUGGAAAAUGUUAUAAAAUACUGUUUGGGCUCAUGAAAGCUAUAUCUGUCUAUCAGGUGCCUCCAGAUUUUGUUCAAGGUGAAACCAACAAUGAUAUUAAUCUACCAUGGGUGUGUGGUUAAACAUGUAAGAGAGAUACUUGGACAUGUAUUAACGAGAGAAUGAAAUACAUAAAAUUGAAAUCUGUAUGUCUGUUUGGAAGAUGUUUAUGUGCAAAGAAAGAAAGCUCUGUAGGAAUGACUAGCGGGUACAAUUUCUGCCUUUCGCUCAGCCAUCACCCUAUUUCUUUGCUCCCCUUUACAGAAAUAUUCUGAAAUAGGUCAGUUUCCUGGUCCACUCCAAUGGAACUUUGCCUCUGUAGAGGCUGAAGAAUAGUCAAGCAAAAGCAGCAGGUGGAAUGUAUAAAAAUUGCCGUAUAAGGAAAAAGGGUCUUUGCAGAUGUGAUUAACAUAAGGUUGCUGAGGUGGAGAUUAUACUAGAUUGUUGGGGGGGUGCUUCUUCAAUCCAAUAAGAUGUCCUUAUCAGAGGGAGGAGAGUGGAGAUUUGAUACACACAGAAGAGAAAGCACUGUGAAGAUGGAGGCAGAGACGGGAGUGGUGCUACCACAGGCAAAUGAAUGCCAGCAGCCACCAGAAGAGGCAAAAGUCAGAGAUCCAGAGGGAGUGUGGCCCCUUGAGCCCUCAUUUCAGCCCUGUGGGAUGAAUGUUGAACUUCUGGCCUCCAAAACUCCAAAAGAAUACAUUUCUCUUCUUUUAAGCCAUCCAGUUCCUGUGGAUUUGUUACAUCAAACAUAGAAACAAAUACAGCUCCAUUCCAAAAAAAAAAAAAAAAUCUGCAGCAGUAAAAUUCACAAAUGACCUCCUAGAAGCUAAAUUUAAUAGUUAAUGUACUCAAGUUCCCACACUACUUGUGACAUCGUUUAUCUUAUCACUCCCUUCUUUUUAUUCUUUAGUUGAUGCAAUGGUCAGUUUUAGGUGUUAACUUGGCCAGGAUAUAGCUUCCGUUAUUCAAUCAAACACUAAUCUGGGUGGUUUUUGUUUCUGUUUGGAAGAUGUGAUUAAAGUCUAAAAUAAAUUGACAUUAGAUGAGAAAGAUUAUCCAGAUCAUCCGGGUGAGCCUGAUGCAAUCAAUUGAAAGGGCUUAAGAUGAAAACUGAGGCUUUUCUGAAGAAGAAAGUAAGGAGGAGGAGGGCAAUGAGAAUCAGGACAAGGAUGAAAAAUGAGAGGGAGGGGAGGGAGGACAGGGAGAAAGGAGAAAUAAUUCCAGCUAUGGACUGCAUCUUCAGCUCCUGCCUGCCCUUUCUGACAGCCUGCCCUGCAGAUGUCAGACUUGCCAAGCCAGAACCCACAACCAUGUAUGCCAAUUUCUUGCAGUAAAUAUCAGAAUAUAUAUUUCCUACUGGUUCUGUUUCUUGGGUUCAACUCUGACUGAUACACUUGGCUUCUGAUCCCACUCUUGGUUUCUGUCCUAUUUCACCAGGUGCUUCUUUUUAGUCUCCUUUGCUCUUUCCUCCUCGUAUUUCUUAUGGCUUGAUGUUGCCAAGCCCAGGACUCCGUGUUUGGACCUCUUUUGCUCAAUUUCACUCACUUGGUAAAUGAUUUUAAGUACGACCUAGGUGUUAAUCCCUUGCAUUUAUUUUUAAUCUAUAUCCUGGACCUCUUCCCCAAACUCCAGUCUUACAUCUCCACCUCAGGUUUCUUACGGGCAUUUUAACAUCACUUGUCUAAAUCUGAAUUUCUCAUUUUCUCAACAAAACUUACUCCUCUAGUAGUCCUUCUUUCUCAGUAAAUAGCAUCAGUCUUUCCUGCUGCUCAGGUCAGAACCUCAGUCAUACUUGACUUUUCCCUUCCUUUCAUACACAUACCCAAAGGAUUAAAAAAAUAAAGUGGACUCUAUCUUUUAAAUUUAUCCUAAAUAGGGCUGCUUUAUCCCACUUUGUUCCAAAAUACCAGAAUCUUUUGCUUGUAUUAUUUAUUAUUGAAUUAAGCUCCUAAAUGGUCCCUUUUCUUCUGUCCUUAUUAUUUGUGCUUUUACAUACACAUUAUUCCCAAUAGACCAACUGGCAUUCUGAAAUAGUCUAAAAUAUGAAUUAUUACAUCAUUUUUCUGUUCCAAACCCUCUGGCAGCUUUAGGAUUCAGAGUAAAAACCAGAGUUCUUGCAAUGGCUUAUCAGGGUUAAUAUGGGUCACCUCCUCCUCGGACCUCAACUCCUGCUACUAUUUUUCUCCUUCGCCUGGAUCCAACCACACUAGUCUUUUCCUUUUCCUUGAACAAACAGGGAAAGCCUCUGCCUCAAGUUUUUUGAAUUUGUUCAUCCUUUGUUCUAUUUGCUCUUGCCCGGUGUCCACAUAGCUUGUUCCAUCACCUUUAUCUGAAGCAUCUGCUCAAAUAUCACUUCAUUUAUUCUAGGAAAAUUCCUUUCUCUUUCCUGUACCUGCACUCUAACCCUUGUCCCUUCUUUGUUUUCCUCCCCCAGCACUGAUCACCAUUUGCUGUACAAUAUAUUUUACAUGUUUAUUUAGCUUCUGUCUCCUACCACUAGAGUAUAUACUAGUGGUUCCUUAAGGUCAGGCAUCUUUGUUUUGUUCACUGCCAUAUUGGGGUGGGGGGAGGUGUGUGCUAAUACAGUGCCUGGCACAUGGUAGGUUUUCAAUAAAUACUUCAUGAGUGAGUGAAUGAAUGACUGUACUUAUGUUUAUGAUCAACUGGAUACAUAAGCCAAUAUGAACGGAUACAAGAACAUUUAACAGAACAGACACAAAAUCCUUACCUGGCUCAGUCAUUUUCUAUCUUAUUUUGUGAUGCUGCUUAUUGAGUUGACUGCACCCUAAAUUACUUUGGUGGGAAUUACUUUGUAUGCUUUUCAGUAAUAUGUCUGUCAGGAUGUAAUUAAUACCUACUGGAUCUGUUUUUAAUCUGCUUGAAGUUAAAUUCAAGGAUAGAAGAGGAUUUUUAAAAAUGGGACAUAAGGUUUAGAACCUAUACAACCCAUGGUUUUAGUUAGAGAUUCAAGACAAAAGAAUCAGGGGCCACUCUAGGUGGGUCAGAAUUAACUUAAUUGAACUCCUCUCAUUCUAUAAAAUUUAUUUUUAUUGAUUUGUAGAGAAUUGGCCUCGAUUACAUCUGGUAAUAUAUAGCUGUAUGAGAGCAGGAUGUAGUGGCAAUUGUCCACAGCCAGAUGAAUGCGCCUAUGCUUCAUGGUGGGAAAUGCCAGUACAGCAGUGACUUAGUGACUCCAAU